CACUCGCUCUCUCAUUUUUUCCCUGCUUCCAAACAAGCGGGAAGCUUCUGGUCAGCAAACUGAUGCGAACGCAGAAGUCCCAUAAACUGUAAUCUAUUGUACGGCCAGCAGGGGGCGACUCUUCUGGUUACAAAAAGAAGUCCAGUUCCAUCAGAAAUAAUGGUUGGCAGGAGGCGUGACUGGUGGGGACGCAUGGGGCUGGCUCCCACACCUGUCUGGCAGACUGAUUGGCACACCUGAUGCGUAUCAUGUCAAUCUGUGCUGCUUGAUAAGCCGUGCAGUUCUCCUCUGUCUUCACUGGAUUGUUACGUUGAGUACUCCUGGAAAGGACGCCGACCCAAGUGCUCAUACCUGCCUGCUUCUUUGGAGGAUUACACUCUGCCUGCCUGCCCAGCCUAUCUUCAAGCCAGCCACACAGCUAUACUCCCCUGCUCCCACCUUGUCUUGCGUGUGCACAACUACUGUUCAAUAAACUUUUUGAAUGAUA